GAUCUGAAUUAAGGAGAUAAAAGGAAAAACCACUCCCUGCUACUCUGUAAGCUUCAUUUCCUGUUGAGCCAUGUUGAUAACCAGAGUGACUGAUAUUAAUGGAGAAUGACAUGAGAAUACCACCAUUUUCAGUCAUUAACUGCAAACGGGCACCCUAUUUUCAAUUUCGGAAAGAGUGGUACUGUGACUCCAAAAUCUCUUCCAUCCUCUAAGGAGAUUGAGUCGAUGAGAGGACAAGGAGGAUCAAGGAGACGAAGGAAGAGCUAAUCUCAGCUGGCAGGAGAAGAUGUGGUUCAGCAUACUGAAUCGUCCUUCUUUCUUUAGGAAUCUGUUGUUCUGG